rnacentral:rRNA from 1 species
GACGAACGCUGGCGGCGUGCUUAACACAUGCAAGUCGAACGGAAAGGCCCUGCUUUUGUGGGGUGCUCGAGUGGCGAACGGGUGAGUAACACGUGAGUAACCUGCCCUUGACUUUGGGAUAACUUCAGGAAACUGGGGCUAAUACCGGAUAGGAGCUCCUGCUGCAUGGUGGGGGUUGGAAAGUUUCGGCGGUUGGGGAUGGACUCGCGGCUUAUCAGCUUGUUGGUGGGGUAGUGGCUUACCAAGGCUUUGACGGGUAGCCGGCCUGAGAGGGUUACCGGCCACAUUGGGACUGAGAGACGGCGCAGACGGCUACGGGAGGCAGCAGGGGGGAAUAUUGCACAAUGGGCGGAAGCCUGAUGCAGCAACGCCGCGUGCGGGAUGACGGCCUUCGGGUUGUAAACCGCUUUCGCCUGUGACGAAGCGUGAGUGACGGUAAUGGGUAAAGAAGCACCGGCUAACUACGUG